UUUCGCCGGGUAAAGGGAAGUUAGUCUUGGCCUGGGAGCCACGAAACUCACGCGCCGCCUUGUCGUAGGCUCUAGCUGCCUCCUCAGCAGUAUCAAAAGUGCCUAACCAGACCCGGCUUUUCUUACCGGGAUCCCGAAUCUCGGCGGCGUAACGGCCCCAUGGCCUCUUCCUAACACCUCUGUAAUGCAUCUCUUUCUUAUCUUUACUGCCGCUACUGCCUUUAUUGAAGCCAGUGGUAGCGUUGCUCUUCUCCUUGGGAGCCAUUUCGCAUGAAUGGUUUACGAUUUCUUUGCUUCUGUAGAGCUAACGGUGGCGUUUGUACGAUGGUUUCCGAAGGGAAAUGCGGAGAUG
rnacentral:misc_RNA from 1 species